rnacentral:rRNA from 1 species
UACGGGGGGAGCAAGCGUUGUUCGGAUUUACUGGGCGUAAAGGGCGCGUAGGCGGCUUAUCAAGUCAGGCGUGAAAUUCCCGGGCUCAACCUGGGGGCUGCGCUUGAUACUGAUUGGCUUGAAUGCGGGAGAGGAUAGUGGAAUUCCCAGUGUAGAGGUGAAAUUCGUAGAUAUUGGGAAGAACACCGGUGGCGAAGGCGGCUAUCUGGCCCGUAAUUGACGCUGAGGCGCGAAAGCGUGGGGAG